AGCUCCGCGUCCAGGCCAGGGCACCAGUCCUCGCGCCAGCCACCGGGGAGCGCGGGGUCCUCGGAGCGGGAGACGAGGGACUGCUGCAGG
rnacentral:SRP_RNA from 14 species